rnacentral:rRNA from 1 species
CCUACGGGUGGCAGCAGUGAGGAAUAUUGGUCAAUGGGCGGAAGCCUGAACCAGCCAAGUCGCGUGAGGGAAUAAGGCCCUACGGGUCGUAAACCUCUUUUGCCGGGGAGCAAGGGCGGGGACGUGUCCCGGCCCGGAGAGUACCCGGAGAAAAAGCAUCGCUAAACUCCGUCCCAGAGGCCGCGGUAAUACGGAGGAUGCGGCGGUUAUCCGGUUUUUUGGGGUUUAAAGGGUGGGUAGGCGGGCUGUUAAGUCAGCGGUAAAAAUUGGGGGCUCAACCCCGUCCGGCCGUUGAAACUGGGGGCCUUGAGUGGGCGAGAAGAAGGCGGAAUGCGUGGUGUAGCGGUGAAAUGCAUAGAUAUCACGCAGAACCCCGAUUGCGAAGGCAGCCUUCCGGCGCCCUACUGACGCUGAGGCACGAAAGUGCGGGGAUCGAACAGGAUUAGAUACCCCUGUAGUC